rnacentral:rRNA from 1 species
AGAGCGAACGCUGGCGGCAGGCUUAAUACAUGCAAGUCGAGCGCCUGUAGCAAUACAGGAGCGGCAGACGGGAGAGUAACACGUGGGAACGUGCCCUUUGGUUCGGAACAACACAGGGAAACUUGUGCUAAUACCGGAUAAGCCCUUACGGGGAAAGAUUUAUUGCCAAAGGAUCGGCCCGCGUCUGAUUAGCUAGUUGGGUAGGGUAAUCGGCCCACGAAGGCGACGAU